rnacentral:rRNA from 1 species
AUUGAACGCUGGCGGCAUGCCUUACACAUGCAAGUCGAACGGCAGCACGGGAGCAAUCCUGGUGGCGAGUGGCGAACGGGUGAGUAAAGUAUCGGAACGUGCCCAGUCGUGGGGGAUAACGUAGCGAAAGUUACGCUAAUACCGCAUACGAUCUAUGGAUGAAAGCGGGGGAUCGCAAGACCUCGCGCGAUUGGAGCGGACGAUAUCAGAUGAGGUAGUUGGUGGGGUAAAGGCUCACCAAGCCGAAGAUCUGUAGCUGGUCUGAGAGGACGACCAGCCACACUGGGACUGAGACACGGCCCAGACUCCUACGGGAGGCAGCAGUGGGGAAUUUUGGACAAUGGGCGAAAGCCUGAUCCAGCCAUGCCGCGUGCAGGAUGAAGGCCUUCGGGUUGUAAACUGCUUUUGUACGGAACGAAAAGGUUUGGCCUAAUAAGCUGAGCUCAUGACGGUACCGUAAGAAUAAGCACCGGCUAACUACGUGCCAGCCGCCGCCGUAA